rnacentral:lncRNA from 1 species
AGUUCCAAAAGAAAAAGAAAAAACCCUCCAAACUUUGCUCGCAUGCCUAGAUUACAUCAGCAGACCUUAGUGCCAAUAUCUGAGUCACUGGAAAUUACCUCAACAGGUNCUAGCUGGGAAAAUGAUAUCCACUGAUGACUCAAAUUAGUCAACUGUGCUCUGAGAUGUCUGAAUGUCCACUAGAACGUUACUGACUGAAGGUNAGUAUAAGCAGCUGUCAGCUACUGUAUCACUACACAAAUGAGCUAAGUGCUUCUGAGUGAAAACAUUUAAAACUCAUAUAUGUGUUCACAGUUGCUUUGACUCUUCC